GUGUGCGUUCAUAUCAGCAAUAAUGUAUCGGAUCCCAUCAGAACUCCGAAGUUAAGCGUGCUUGGGCGAGAAUGGUACUAAGACAAGCUUUGUCGCAGAACUUCCACAGACACAGGUU
rnacentral:rRNA from 1 species